rnacentral:rRNA from 1 species
GAACGCUGGCCGGCGUGCCUAAUACAUGCAAGUCGAACGCACAGAUAUCAACAGAAGCUGCUUGCAGUGGAAGUUAAUUGAUGUGAGUGGCGGACGGGUGAGUAACACGUGGGUAACCUACCCAAAAGUGGGGGAUAACAUUUGGAAACAGAUGCUAAUACCGCAUAAUUUAAGUGACCACAUGGUCACUUAAUGAAAGAUGGUUUCGGCUAUCACUUUUGGAUGGACCCGCGGCGUAUUAGCUAGUUGGUGGGAUAACGGCCUACCAAGGCGAUGAUACGUAGCCGACCUGAGAGGGUAAUCGGCCACAUUGGGACUGAGACACGGCCCAAACUCUACGGGAGGCAGCAGUAGGGAAUCUUCCACAAUGGACGAAAGUCUGAUGGAGCAACGCCGCGUGAGUGAAGAAGGUUUUCGGAUCGUAAAACUCUGUUGUUGGAGAAGAACAGGGACUAGAGUAACUGUUAGUCCUAUGACGGUAUCCAACCAGAAAGCCACGGCUAACUACGUGCCAGCAGCCGCGGUAAUACGUAGGUGGCAAGCGUUGUCCGGAUUUAUUGGGCGUAAAGCGAGCGCAGGCGGUUUUUUAAGUCUGAUGUGAACUUCGGCUUAACCGAAGAAGUGCAUUAGAAACUGGGAAACUUGAGUGCAGAAGAGGAGAGUGGAACUCCAUGUGUAGCGGUGAAAUGCGUAGAUAUAUGGAAGAACACCAGUGGCGAAGGCGGCUCUCUGGUCUGUAACUGACGCUGAGGCUCGAAAGUAUGGGGAGCGAACAGGAUUAGAUACCCUGGUAGUCCAUACCGUAAACGAUGAAUGCUAAGUGUUGGAGGGUUUCCGCCCUUCAGUGCUGCAGCUAACGCAUUAAGCAUUCCGCCUGGGGAGUACGACCGCAAGGUUGAAACUCAAAGGAAUUGACGGGGGCCCGCACAAGCGGUGGAGCAUGUGGUUUAAUUCGAACUACGCGAAGAACCUUACCAGGUCUUGACAUCCUUUGACCACUGUAGAGAUACAGCUUUCUUCGGGGACAAAGUGACAGGUGGUGCAUGGUUGUCGUCAGCUCGUGUCGUGAGAUGUUGGGUUAAGUCCCGCAACGAGCGCAACCCUUAUGACUAGUUGCCAGCAUUAAGUUGGGCACUCUAGUGAGACUGCCGGUGACAAACCGGAGGAAGGUGGGGAUGACGUCAAAUCAGCAUGCCCCUUAUGACCUGGGCUACACACGUGCUACAAUGGUUGGUACAACGAGUUGCGAACCCGCGAGGGUAAGCUAAUCUCUUAAAGCCAAUCUCAGUUCGGAUUGUAGGCUGCAACUCGCCUACAUGAAGUCGGAAUCGCUAGUAAUCGCGGAUCAGCACGCCGCGGUGAAUACGUUCCCGGGCCUUGUACACACCGCCCGUCACACCAUGAGAGUUUGUAACACCCGAAGCCGGUGGGGUAACCUCUAUGAGGAGCUAACCGUCUAAGGUGGGACAGAUGAUUGGGG